AAGUCCACAAACAUCCAAUGUAUGCCAUAAACAUGUCUCAUAACCAAGUUCAGAAGAACAUCAGUGAGGUGGUCGGUUGGACUGGUUUGAUGAUGUGUUGGGCGAACCAUGGGGGUUGUUUGAUGUCGUCGAUUGAUUCUGCACAGAGAAGAGAUUGCAUGUGUGAGAUUAGAUAAAUAUAUAUCAUACACGACUAAAAUUUUUAUAUUCACAGGAGUAUAAAACUGAGGAGGUUCAGCUGUAGGGAACAACGGAGGUGGUGGAGUAAUUAAAACUCGAUGCGGCGCCAAGGUUCUGCAUGUAUGAUACAUUUCCUCCAUCCUCUGUUGAUCGACCAAGCGAGUCAUCUGUUCGGCUAUCAUCCUCGCCUCCAACUCCACAUGUUGCAUCCUCUCUUCUUCUAGAUGAGUUUUUCUAUGCAAAGUGUUUCGCACUCGGCAAAGAGGUACGUUGCGGAGUAUCAUACUUCGCCGAGAGUAACACUCGACAAAUAAUUCUUUGUCGAGUGCCCGAGAUUUUACACUCGGCAAACAUCUGAGCACUCGGCAAAGAAUGUGUUUUCGGUAGUGUUUUGCUGCUUCAAUUUACACCUCACAUGCAUAUAUACUCCGUCCUCAUAUCAUAAACAUCGGUCCAUCUAGAUUUAUGCUAAGUCAUGAUUUCUUAAGUUUGAUAGGCAAUGUUUACACAAACAAAAGUUACCCCCUCUAAUCUUUUUUUACAUGUCACAUAAGAUUUGUCCUAAGCCAAAUAUUACUAUCUUUUAUUCUCCAUUUAAAAUUUUAUUUUAUUUUUAGAACCUACCAAUUAUAUAUUAUAAAAGUUUUUUUAUAAUAACUAUAAAACAUAAAUCUUAUGUCAUGUGCAUAUACUGAUACACACGUUUGACUUAAAACAAAUCUAAUAUUACAUAUAAAUAAAAACAGUAAAGGUACAUAUUAUGAAGUCCUCAUAAUAAAUCUAGUGAGGCCUCAUGUUUUCAAAAAAAAUGAUGGGAAAAUUUAACAACCUUUCACUUGGAAAAACCUUGUGAUUGAAGGAAGUACAGUUGCAUUUAUAUAUAAUAUAGGUCCAACUGGCCUGAAAAAGGCUAUUAUUGCACGAUUCAAGAUAAGGCAUUUAAAAAGCAUAGCUCGGCACUGUAAAUCAAAAGGAAAAGGAAAAACACUUGUAAUAUUAAACUGACAGACAACCACCACAUCACCAAAGAUCCAAUAGCAUCUACAAUUUAUUUUAAUGUAUUAUAAACAAAAGAAAAGAUAACAAGAGCCAAUGAGCAUGUAACUUGCAGGCAACUUUGUUGUCCUCCACACAGCACACAUGCCGAAUUCCAGCUCCUCAUUACUCCGUUGCGAUGUGACGUGUGCGUGCCGGCCGCUCAUCAUGCAAUGCAAUGCAACACCGAAUAAUAAACAGGCAGAAAUUACCGAGGCACGCGCGCGAGUUGGUGGUGCACUGCACACUCAGCUCAGGGCUCGAUCGCUCAGCUAUAUAAAGCCCUGCUGGUGCCAAAGCACACGCCAGAACGAUCGAGCUGGGACCGGUAGCUCGCCCACAAGCACUACUGCUCCGGCGGCGGCCAUCGCCUUGUCAUCAGGCUCCAGCUAGCUUGCAACAGAGGGGGCGAGCUAGGAGGAGGAGAUGAGUGCCCCAGCGGGCAGCGGCGGCGGCGGGGAGCGGGCGAUGAACAUCCGCGGCAUAUUCCGGUUCGCGGACCGGGUGGACGUCCUGCUGAUGGCCCUGGGCACGCUGGGCGCCAUUGGCGACGGCUGCUCCACCAACCUGCUGCUCAUCUUCGCCAGCGACGUGAUGAACGCGCUCGGGUACGGGGGUGCCCAGGCCGGCGGCGGCGCCAAGAGCGCGCAGUUCAUGCACGAGGUGGAGAAGGUUCGUCCUGCGCCGUGCAUUACCGCCUGAUGUACCGGCGACUAGCUAGUGUCGUCAACUCCGAACGAAGCGCGCUCAACUCAACAUCGUCUGCUGUGUGGGCAUUUUUCAGUAACUUUAUUGUUCACUUCUUUUCGUUUUGCCCUUUUUUUUCCCCGUGAUGCAGUCGUGCCUGAACUUCGUCUACCUGGGGCUCGUGGUGCUGGCGGUGGCGUUCAUGGGUACAGUACCUUCAGCUCACCACACCUAGCCUAGCCUAUCAAUUUAUGCACAUCAUCAGAACCUGCUGCUUGCAUCAAUGAAAGAACUUUCCCCCCUGUUUUUUAACAAAAUGUUUUAAUACAAUGACAAUUUUGCUUCAAAAAGAGGCAUCGUCUCUCUGAGCUAGCAAUUCUCUUUCUGUAACUUAAUAUAUGUUAUGUUACCCUACUCGGUUGCCUGCUUGUUGUCCAUGCAUGCAUGUGUGUAUGAUGAGAAGCCAAAAGAAGACAUGCAUCUUUCUAGAGCGCGCUACAGAUCGAUCUGUUUAAAACUAAAUAGCUGACGCUGUAGAAUUAUUAAACGUCGUAAAUUGUUUGAGCCAAACACUAAAAUGGACGACAGUUGUCGUACAUCUCACGCAUCGAUCUGCUUGCUUUGCUUGGAAAUGAAAAAAAUGCAGAAGGGUACUGCUGGAGCCGGACGAGCGAGCGGCAGGUGCUGCGGAUCCGGUACCUGUACCUGCAGGCCAUCCUGCGGCAGGAAGCGGGCUUCUUCGACUCGCAGGAGGCCACCACGUCGGAGAUCAUAAACAGCAUCUCCAAGGACGCCUCCCACAUCCAGGAGGUCCUCAGCGAGAAGGUAGGUACACAACCAAACAAACCCCUCCAUCCUCCCAUUCAUCAACAAAAGACCCCCAAUCUUCAGUCAGAACAACCCCAAAAACAAAACAAAACAAAACAAAAUGACGAGACACCCUUCAGAGGCUUCAGUCAUGUGAAUGUGAAUGUGACUAGCCAAACCAUCCGGUCCAUCUGCAGAUGACUUGACCCAGCCUCCAGCAACAAUUUCGUUUUUUAGACGGAGCAGUAGAGUACCUGUUAUAGACCGUCAGCGAAUUUCCUCUUUUUUUUUGGAACUAACCUGCGUGGGCACGACCGCACGAGGCUAGAAGCCAGCGACCUACAGCAGUAGAGCAUCGCUGAAUCAGGUGGCAAAUCAAAGGAUUUGACCUGGCAGUCUAGGCUGCCGUCUUAUUUUAUCCGUCAAACAUUUUCUUUUUUUACAGAGAAAAUGUCUCUCUGUGCUGUCAUCCUUCAGACUUCAGAGGAUUGCAAGUGUGUGUGUGUGCCAUCUUAUUACCCUGAUGGCUCGUCAUACGAUCAAACCAGUCUUCCACGUAUCGUUCUCCAUUUCCCACUGGGGCCGGACUUUAUUUGAACAAUCCCGUACUCACUUUAAUCAAUGUGUAUUGAGGUAGAUUAGAGUAUAACUUAAACUAAUUUAUACCCUAGUCUAUUUCAAUACGUAUAGAUUGAGGUAAAUACCAAACAAUGUCUGGGAGGGAUUUAAAAACACCCAACCUGAAAAUAACAUAAAUCCGCAAAAACAAUGACAAACUACUUGAGGGCUUAUUCAUUUCACCGUUAAUCCACGUGGAUUGGAUGUAUUGAGUCGGUUUAAAUUCGUAGCAAGUUAAAAUUUAUUCCAAUCCAUUUCAAUAUAUUCUAAUCCACGUGGAAUUGAAAUAACCGAACAAGAAUGAUCUAUCUAGAUGUACACCCACACUCUUUCCUGGCUUGAAAAAUUAAACAGACUACAAUAACUCAAUAAGAUUACCCAGCAUCCAGAAAAACGAAUGUGUAAAAACAAAAGAGCGAGACAGAGCUGAGGCUUGGGUCGUUUGGAUUCGCAUGUAUCUACCUCAAUCCCUAUGUGUUAGUGGUUUGGUGUAUAUUUUAAACUAAAUUCUACACACCAAACCACUUCAUCCUGCUUAGAUUAAGUUGAAUACUAUAUGCAGCCAAACAAGACCUGAAUGUAAUCCAGUGUUGGAUCAUCGUUCGAGGAGAAAUAACAGCAUGAUUGAUUGGCAUGAAAUCUGGAACAGGUCCCUCUGUUCCUGAUGCACUCUACGGUCUUCGUCUCCGGCCUGGCCUUCGCCACCUACUUCUGCUGGAGGCUGGCCCUGGUUUCGUUCCCUCUCGUCCUGCUGCUCAUAAUCCCGGGACUCAUCUACGGCAAGUACCUCCUCUACCUGUCCCGCCGGUCGCGCCACGAGUACGCCAAGGCGAACUCCCUGGUCGACCAGGCUCUGGGCUCCAUCAAGACCGUCUACUCCUUCACGGCCGAGAAGAGGAUCAUCCAGAGGUACACGGCGAUCCUCGACAAGACGAUCAAGCUGGGGAUCAAGCAGGGCAUCGCCAAGGGUCUCGCUGUGGGGUUCACCGGCCUUUCUUUCGCCAUUUGGGCCUUCCUUGCGUGGUAUGGUGGGAGGCUGGUGGUGUUCCAUCAUGUGACCGGUGGAAGGAUAUAUGCUGCUGGGAUUUCCUUCGUCUUGGGUGGCCUGUAUGUUUCUUGCACUCUUCACGCUUUAUCUGACUUCAUGGCACCAUUUGGUCAUGUAGAUGUAGAAGCCUGCCUAACUAGACAAACUUACUGAAUGUUGCAGAUCCCUUGGAAUGGCACUGCCUGAGCUGAAACAUUUCGCUGAGGCGUCUGUUGCUGCCACAAGAAUCCUUGAUCGGAUAAACCGUGUCCCCCAGAUUGAUGCUGAGGACCCAAAAGGCCUUGUGCUGGACCAAAUCCGGGGAGAGCUCGAAUUUGAGUCUGUCCGUUUCGAGUACCCAUCAAGACCAAACAUGCCCGUCCUCAAAAACUUCAGCCUCCAGAUUCCCGCUGGGCAGACUAUUGCUUUGGUUGGGUCCAGUGGCAGCGGCAAGUCAACAGCGAUAGCUUUAGUGCAGCGCUUCUACGAUGCCAGCGAAGGGACUGUAAAAGUUGAUGGUUUUGACAUCAAAGAACUCCAGCUCAAAUGGAUCAGGAGCAAGAUGGGGCUAGUCAGCCAAGACCAUGCGUUGUUUGGCACUUCAAUAAAAGAGAACAUCUUGUUUGGCAAACCAGAUGCAACCAUGGACGAGGUCUAUGCGGCAGCUAUGACAGCAAACGCUCACAACUUCAUAAGGGGGCUUCCAGAGGAAUAUGAGACAAAGGUACGCGCAUCAAAAAAAAGGAAAAAGAACGUCCAUCCACCUUAAUUCCAUGUCUCAUACUUUAUGGUUCCUUCUUGCAGAUUGGUGAGCGUGGAGCACUGUUAUCAGGUGGCCAGAAGCAGCGUAUUGCCAUUGCGAGGGCGGUAAUUAAGAACACUGCUAUACUCUUGCUCGAUGAAGCCACAAGUGCACUUGAUUCAGAAUCAGAGAAGUUGGUACAGCAUGCACUUGAUCAAGCAUCUAUGGGACGAACAACACUGGUAAAUUGCCACUGCUUCCGCUCUUCAUACUUUAUGACCCUUAUAUCAGAACUUGUUGAAUUAAUUAUCACUGCAUCUUUUUUCAAGAAAAAAACAUUUGGCAUUGAAUCUCUGAUUAUUCAUUAACAAUGGACAGGUAGUAGCUCAUAAGCUCUCAACCGUGAAGAACGCUGAUCAGAUCGCGGUAGUUGAUGGGGGUACAAUAGCUGAAAUUGGUACACAUGAUGAACUGAUCAGCAAGGGUGGCCCAUACUCGAGACUUGUGAAAUUGCAGAAGAUGGUAAGCUACAUCGAUCAAGAAAAUGAUCAGUUUAGGGCUUCCUCAGUGGCCAGGACCAGUACCAGCCGACACAGCAUGUCCAGAGCAAGUCCAAUGCCACUAACACCAGCUGCCUUAAAGGAAAAUGAUUCUGAUGUUCAUCCACCUGCACCAUCUUUCUCCAGGCUUCUUGCAAUGAACGCACCUGAGUGGAGGCAGGCAGUCGUAGGCAGUUUAUCCGCAUUGGUAUAUGGUUCCUUGCAGCCUAUCUAUGCCAUAACCAUCGGAGGAAUGAUUGCUGCAUUCUUUGUUCAGGACCAAAAUGAGAUGAAUGCAAUUAUCAGACGCUAUGCCUUGAUCUUCUGCUCACUGUCCUUGGUAUCCAUUGUUGUUAAUCUAUUGCAGCACUACAAUUUUGCAUACAUGGGGGAGCAUCUUGUUAGGCGCAUCCGGGUCCAAGUACUUGAGAAGAUAUUAACUUUUGAGGCAGCAUGGUUUGAUGAAGAAACUAACUCAAGCGGUGCAUUGUGCUCUCGGCUAAGCAAUGAGGCUUCUCUUGUCAAAACCCUUGUUGCAGACAGAAUAUCCUUACUGCUUCAAACAGCUUCUGGAAUUAUAAUUGCAGUGACAAUGGGCCUGAUGGUAGCUUGGAAACUUGCUCUUGUCAUGAUAGCUGUACAGCCAUCUACAAUGAUGUGUUAUUAUGCAAAAAAAAUGGUUCUCUCAAAUGUGUCAAGGGACUUGGCAAAGGCUCAGCAUCAAAGCACCCAGAUUGCCAUAGAAGCUGUUUACAACCACAGGAUGGUAACCUCCUUUGGAUGUUCAUCAAAGGUUCUUCAGCUAUUCGAGCAUGCGCAAGAGGAACCCUUGAAAAAAGCAAGGAAGAAAUCAUGGGUAGCAGGGAUCACCACAGGGUUGUCACCUUGCCUCUCGUUCUUGUCAUGGGCACUGGACUUCUGGUAUGGUGGGAAGCUAGCACAGUCUGGGGAGAUAUCGGCGGGUGAUGUUUUCAAAACCUUCUUCGUGCUGGUGAGCACAGGAAAGCUUAUUGCUGAUGCUGGUAGCAUGACUUCUGACCUGGCAAAGGGAUCAAAUGCAGUUGCUUCAGUAUUUGAGGUGCUAGAUAGGAAAUCCAUCUCUCCAAAAAAUUCACAGGUAACAAACUCAUUCAUAAGAAUCAUAUAGAUACAUAUCGGCACAGCAGUUUUGCGAGUAUAGAAUCAUUUUACAACACUGUCUUGCUAUGAGUGAGAAUAAUAUACAUCUAUUUUGCAGGUAGAGAAGGAGGAUCAGAAGAAGAAAAUAGAAGGUAGGAUAGAAUUCAAGAAGGUAGAUUUUGCAUAUCCAACAAGACCAGAGUGCCUUAUCCUACAGGAUUUUAGCUUGGACGUGAAAGCAGGAACAAGUGUUGGCCUGGUUGGCAGAAGCGGUUGUGGUAAAUCAACUAUCAUAGGUUUGAUCCAGAGGUUCUAUGAUGUUGAUAGGGGGGCUGUAAGAAUUGAUGGUAUGGAUGUGAGGGAGAUGAAUAUUCUCUGGUUUCGAGGAUUUACAGCUCUUGUUAGUCAGGAGCCUGCAAUGUUUUCAGGCAGUGUCAGGGACAACAUUGCUUUUGGUAAACCAGAAGCUGAUGAAGAUGAGAUUGUGGAAGCUGCGAAAGCUGCAAACGCACAUGAGUUCAUCUCGUAAGUCUUUUUACUUGUUUGUAUUCCAAAAUUAUAUAGAAAUUGCAAGCAUGUCUUUUGUUUCAACUCGCAUUGUCCAACACAAGGAACUAAGUUGAUUAUUUUUCAGAACUUUGAAGGAUGGAUACGAUACUGAUUGUGGAGAGCAUGGUAUACAGCUCUCAGGGGGGCAGAAGCAAAGAAUCGCAAUUGCAAGGGCAAUAAUCCGGAAUCCCACAAUACUACUACUUGAUGAAGCAACAAGUGCGCUUGAUGCACAGUCAGAGCAAGUGGUGCAGGAAGCUCUUGAUCGAAUAAUGUCAGGGAGGACCACAAUUGUGGUGGCACAUCGGCUAAACACAAUCAAGAAUGUAGACUCGAUUGCUUUUCUGGGAGAGGGUAAAGUGGUGGAGCGUGGCUCUUACCCGCAGCUCAUGAACAAGAAGGGGGCAUUCUAUAACCUUGCAACUCUUCAGAAGUAACUGGUUGUAUGACAUGUAAACUAUUAUACCUAAUGAAACUCCGGCAGUAAUUGAUAUGAUAGCUAGGUUACUAUAGCACAGAAGCAGCACUCCUAAGCUAGUUUUCAAGCAACUCUUUCAAUAAUCAGUUAAUAUAUAUCUGACACAAUCCUCGUCCUUCAAGUUUCUGGUGGGCUAACACAGGCAAAAAAUAUAUAUAUAAAAAGAAAUGACAAUAUGGCCUAGCUAAAAGAAGCAUGAUAAGUAAAAACAAGCAUUAUGAUGCAUGAAUCAUCAUGUCUUGUCCUCUGAUAACAUAUGUGAGCUUCAACAGAAUGAAAAAGAAUGUUCAUGAAAGGACUUACCCUGAAGUGACCAUAGCCUGGAAAAAUCAUGAACAUGAUCAAGGAGAUACUGGAAAAAUGUGACCUGCCAUGAUCAUGCUGUUAUUCGUGAGUAAAUACUCAGUAAAGAGCAUGGACAUGAUCAAGGAGAUGAUGUUUGGCUGUUACCUGCCAUAAGGCAUAUUUGUCUAUCUGACGGAUAUCAUAAAAAGAAAAAAAAUGCUCAAUUGUAUAACCCAUAUGAAUUGACCUAACUAUUUCCUCAACGCUAGACUAUCUCCAUUCCUAUACAAAAGAGUGAUCCACUAUACGAACCUGAGAGUGACUACGCAUAAGACUAUUAGCUGUCUCUGUUAAUUUAUCGCCACUAUGCCCUCCCUUCCUACAAGGAACGUUACGAUAGGACAUGGGAGUUAUUCUAAAUUCUCCGUGGCAUGGGACCAAACUGCCUUCUCAAGUCUCAACAGCAUCUACACCGAGACCAUGAAAAGCAUUCUCCCAUAGUAUUUGAAAAUAAAGGAAUUCACCCUUCCCCCUAAGGCCAUGUUCGUUUGAUCCCAAAACCAUAGGGAUUGAGGUGGAUUGAAAGGGAUUGAAGAGGAUUUUGACUUGUAGGGGAUUUGAUCCCCUCAAUCCCUAUGGAUCAGCACAAAACGAACAGAGCCUAACAGUUGUCCUCCACAUACUUUGGCUAUCCAGUGGUCAGAGACACGCGUUACCAGCCCUAGUAAUGCCAGGGACAAUGCCUACCUGCCGUUGCCAGCCCGUUGCCCUUUUUAGUUCUGAAUUUUCUUUUUACAUGAAACAUGCCUGAAUCUGAAUCCCAUCUGCUAGAAGAAGAAAAUCGCAGAACCCACUGACAUGCACAUGCAUAUAAUCUUCUGCUCAUCCAUCAGUAGCAACCCGCAAGGGAACGGGAUGGAUGCCAGGGUUUCGGCCGGGUCAACGAUCGCAGAUUCGCAGUUCCCCGCAAAGCUCACGGGCGCCAGGCCUGCGAAUGCGAACACCGAUACGGAGGGGAAAGCGGCGCAGGAAGAGGGAUCGGAGGACUACUUACGAAUUCCGAUUCGCGCGCGAAGUCGACAAGGAGAACCUUGGAGAAUCGAGGCCUCCUCCGUUCUCCCAUGAGCCGUUUGUCUAGCAUAUCUCUUAUCUCCUCCCAGAUGAAAUUUCAAACUUAUCCCUAUAAACUUUCAUCUACAGUUUCAUAUCUCUUAUUUUUCACGUUCCACCGGGAUGGAGGGAAGGAAGUAGAAUAUCUCCAUCAGCUCAAACAAUCUUACGGGUGGAGGGAAGGAAGUAAGCUAUCUCCAUCAGCUCUCAUAUCGCAUUCGCAUUCUCUAUCUAAA
rnacentral:lncRNA from 1 species